rnacentral:rRNA from 1 species
AUAAUGACUCUCGGCAACGGAUAUCUCGGCUCUCGCAUCGAUGAAGAACGUAGCGAAAUGCGAWACUUGGUGUGAMUUGCAGAAUCCCGUGAACCAUCGAGUCUUUGAACGCAAGUUGCGCCCGAAGCCUUCUGGCCGAGGGCACGUCUGCCUGGGCGUCACGCA